AUUGCGCCCUGCAGGAUUGUCUUGGCAAUGGUGCUGGGCCUUUUUGUUACAUGUCCAAAUAACUGCAUCUUUCUUCUUAUGAUUUCAAUUCCAAGAUGGGGAAACCCCCUUCUCAAAUGGAUACUUCCAGGGUGAGGAGAGGGACUUGUGGUGGGAAAGAUCUGAAUCUCCAGAAAUUACAAGAAGCAUGACAAACAGUUUAAUUUUAUUGAAGACCUGACAGCACUGAAGAAGAUCCAUUUUCAAGCUUCAUAGUAAUAUAAUGGACUGACUUUAUCCUUUAUACUAGGGGUAUCUAACCUGGAUGUAGCUAGGAACUGUACACUGCAGGGGCAGCCUCCUAUUAUUCUUCUCCACUGCAUGGGCUGCUCCAGCAGCACAGAUCCCCCUUCCACCUGUUGUGCCAAUGGCGCACAGUCCUUCUGCCCCCACUGUGGCAGCACAUGUCCCCCCUACUUUCCUCUCCUCCCCGUAUUUUUUUGACCUAAGGAAGAAAAGAUGUUAAAAACCUUCCAAAUUUGUGGGAUGGUCCUGGUCAUUUUGUUAGAGGGAAGCUAGAACUGCAACCUGAGAUCUGAACCAUGUUCUUCCAGAGUUUGUAGCUAGGUUCUUUCCAUGUGAGGGACCGCAGAGAGUGACUACAGGGUCAGGAGCUGAGAUACUGUAAACUAAGAGAAGUGAGUCAGCAGCUAGCAACCUCCUACCAUGAGAAGAAAGGAUAAUGAAGUCUGUGGCAUACUGCAGACGCCUUGGUGCUACUAGAAGUUGGAAGGAAGGCCACCUUGUGACAUUCCUUACUGGAUAUUGUGCUAUAGUUUUUGCUAAGUAUUGUUCUCAGCAUGUUAUCUAAUAAAUUCAAUCAAAAAUAUGAAUUCAUUUUCUAAUGCAGAGAUUUUCUACAGAUAGAAACCCAAGAAAGUAAGUGCUGAUUAUCUGAUGGGAGUGUGAACAGGGUUGAA